GGUGUUCCUGUUAUCAUAGUUGGAAGUACAAUUUCAAUAACAAAAACAAAUGGAUAUGGCGACGAUAAUUACUGCUGGCUGUCUCUAUCUCGUGGACUCAGAUGGGCAUUUGUUGGUCCAGCCUUGUUCGUUAUACUGUUCAACAUCAUUGUUUUGAUUAUAUUGUUUAAGAAAAUGUUUGCUCUAAAAGCAAUGGAAGACAAGCCAAUUAAAGACAAGAUCAAGACAACACUUUGGUCUCUUUGCGUGCUAGUGCCUCUGAUGGGCAUCUCCUGGAUUCUCGGCAUCUUCUACGUCAACGAGUCGGCCUCAUUCAUGCAAUAUGUGUUCGCAGUCUGCAACGGGCUGCAGGGCGUUUAUAUCUUCGUAUGCAACUGCGUGUUAAAUGAAAAGGUAAA